rnacentral:rRNA from 1 species
GACGAACGCUGGCGGCGUGCUUAACACAUGCAAGUCGAACGGUGAAGCGCCUUCCUUUUUGGUGGGUGUGGAUGAGUGGCGAACGGGUGAGUAACACGUGAGUAACCUGCCCCCUUCUUCUGGAUAACCGCAUGAAAGUGUGGCUAAUACGGGAUAUUCUGGGUCUGUCGCAUGAUGGGUCUGGGAAAGAUAUUGUUUCGGUGGGGGAUGGGCUCGCGGCCUAUCAGCUUGUUGGUGGGGUGGUGGCCUACCAAGGCGGUGACGGGUAGCCGGCCUGAGAGGAUGGACGGUCACACUGGGACGGGGACGCGGCCCAGACUCCGACGGGAGGCAGCAGGGGGGAAUAUUGCACAAUGGGCGCAAGCCUGAUGCAGCGACGCCGCGUGAGGGAUGGAGGCCUUCGGGUUGUGAACCUCUUUCGCCAGUGAAGCAGGCCUGCCUCGUUUGUGGGUGGGUUGACGGUAGCUGGAGAAGAAGCGCCGGCUAACUACGUG